UACAGAGGUCCCAAGCGUUGUUCGGAUUCACUGGGCGUAAAGGGUGCGUAGGUGGUUGCGCAAGUCUGAUGUGAAAUCUCCGGGCUCAACCCGGAAAUGGCAUUGGAAACUGCGUGGCUAGAGGGUUGGAGGGGGGACUGGAAUACUUGGUGUAGCAGUGAUAUGCGUAGAUAUCAAGUGGAACACCAGUGGCGAAGGCGAGUCCCUGGACAACACCUGACACUGAGGCACGAAAGCUAGGGGAGCAAACAGG
rnacentral:rRNA from 1 species